UGCACUCACUACUGUAAGUCACUCUGGAUAAGAGCGUCUGCUAAAUGACUUCAA
rfam:Salmo salar isolate Sally breed double haploid chromosome ssa02, whole genome shotgun sequence.